AUACCCCGAAAACGUUGGACCAGACCAACCUCUGCUA
rnacentral:tRNA from 1 species